UUGAAGGCGUCAAAGACAAAUUGUUUACUGCAAAAAAUUUUACUUAAUAUAAAGCUCAAAAAUACAGCUGUACCUUCACAUAAUCCUUACACAAAUACAAACACACACAAAUACACACACACACUCAACACUCCCAUGCAUGCACACACACGCCAGCCGAGAUAUAACAAAUGAGUAUCGUUCAGUAACCAGUACAGUGCCUGACGACGAGAACAGUUCUUCGUCUGCUAACGUUAAAGGAUCUGUCUGUCACAUUUUUCGUCGUGCUAAUGGCAGCAUUUGUCAUUUCUUUCAUCUUUGAAUCCAAAGCUCUAAAUGAUGAAAAAUUGGCGUCGUUCUUUGUCAGGAUGUUCAAAUGAAACCUCAUAUAUAAGAUCGUCUUUGAAAUGUCUGAAUAACCCGCAGUAACAAUGUUACAUAAACUGUUCACUGGGUAUGACAGUUAUGGCUUGCCACCUCUCCUAUAGCUUCCAAAAACAAAUCUUGUUAACCAAUAGUCCUGAAAGCAAGAAAUCUUGUGUCGCAUUAAUCGCUACAAGUUGCUUCGCUGCGACAGCCCCGUCCAUGCUUUCGAAAAACGCCUAUGCCAAUUACUGACAUAUUAAUGAACCCUAAAACCGAAUCAAUCAAACGCUGAAAACCAAACAAAGACCAAACAUUGUAGUUAAAAUCCCUUCGGCAAAAUAAACUAAUGCCCGAUCGAAAAAACCUACUUCAUCAUAAUUAAAAAGGAACAAUACUAAUUAUUUGUUAACAAUACACCUAAUUAAAACAGACAUUCCUCGUGGGGUGAUCAUGUUCUAAGUCGGAUAGACAAUGAUCACUACUUGUGUUCAGUGGGAUUGUAGACUCUCUCGAAUUAGUUAGACUGCCACUCGGGUCUUCGGCCCUCGUGGCCGUCUAACUAAUUCUCGGGAGUCUAUAUCCCACUGAACACACG